UACGUAGGGUGCAAGCGUUGUCCGGAAUUAUUGGGCGUAAAGAGCUCGUAGGCGGUUUGUUGCGUCGGCUGUGAAAUCCCGAGGCUCAACCUCGGGUCUGCAGUCGAUACGAGCAAACUAGAGUGUUGCAGGGGAGACUGGAAUUCCUGGUGUAGCGGUGAAAUGCGCAGAUAUCAGGAGGAACACCGGUGGCGAAGGCGGGUCUCUGGGCAACAACUGACGCUGAGGAGCGAAGGCGUGGGGAGCGAACGGG
rnacentral:rRNA from 1 species